rnacentral:sRNA from 1 species
GCACGCCGGGUGACAACCGGUCGUAACAGGGAUUCGCGAUGGACGCAGUUAUUUUGCCGGUUUCUUGCUGCGACAACAACGCAUCGGUACGCGUGGUCAUCUAACCUGUUCUCGGC